GAUGAACGCUGGCGGCGUGCCUAAUACAUGCAAGUCGAGCGAACAGACGAGGAGCUUGCUCCUCUUACGUUAGCGGCGGACGGGUGAGUAACACGUGGAUAACCUACCUAUAAGACUGGGAUAACUUCGGGAAACCGGAGCCAAUACCGGAUAAUAUAUUGAACCGCAUGGUUCAAUAGUGAAAGACGGUUUUGCUGUCACUUAUAGAUGGAUCCGCGCCGCAUUAGCUAGUUGGUAAGGUAACGGCUUACCAAGGCAACGAUGCGUAGCCGACCUGAGAGGGUGAUCGGCCACACUGGAACUGAGACACGGUCCAGACUCCUACGGGAGGCAGCAGUAGGGAAUCUUCCGCAAUGGGCGAAAGCCUGACGGAGCAACGCCGCGUGAGUGAUGAAGGUCUUCGGAUCGUAAAACUCUGUUAUUAGGGAAGAACAAAUGUGUAAGUAACUAUGCACGUCUUGACGGUACCUAAUCAGAAAGCCACGGCUAACUACGUG
rnacentral:rRNA from 1 species